ensembl:snRNA U6 U6 spliceosomal RNA
GUGCUCGCUUUGGCAGCACAUAUACUAAAAUUGGAAUGAUACUGAGAAGAUUAGCAUGGCCCCUACGCAAGGAUGACACACAAAUUCGUGAAGCGUUCCAUUAAAAA